CGAGCGCAGAGUGAAGAGGUGGAGAGAGCGCAGCAACGGCUGUCUGCGCGCAGAAAACCAGUUUGUGGAGAGGGCACCUGAGUAAACUGCGGGCACGGAAUGUUUUUCUUUGCUAAAACAUCUCUCUGUGCUCAAAACCUAAAAUUACGCGCUCAGGAUUGUGGCACAAAUAUAACGCCAUAGGUUUCCAGCUGCUCAGAGCGGACCGCGACACGGAGCUCUCCGGCAAGAUAAAGGGUGGAGGAAUCUGCUUCUACUUCAACACCGGCUGGUGCAACGACGUAACGGUGAUCCUACAACACUGUUCUCCUGAUCUGGAAACUUUCUUCAUCAACUGCAAACAAUUUUAUUCCCCCCGUGAGUUUGCUUCAUUCAUCCUGGUCGGUGUUUACAUGCCGUCGGCGGGCAACGUGCACAAGCUCGGUCCCCCACUGACUGACAUGUCACUUUACUGUCAUUUUUCACUCGUCACUUUUGUCACUUGUUCGCUAGUGCACUUUAUUUUUUAAUUUCUUUAAAUAUUUUUUUACUUUUAAAAUACUUUUAAUUUUUAACUUUAAUCUUAUUCUCUUAUUCUAAACAAACCCAUAGCAUUAGCAUUUCAUUUUAUUUUAUUACUUGUGCACUGCUGUCUUGUUGUCUAUUGUUAUACUGUCUACUGUUACGCACCAACCGCCAAGUCAAAUUCCUUGUAUGUAUGACGUAUUUUGACAAUAAAUGUUUCCUGAUUCCUGAUUCCUGUAACCGUUGUGGACCGUAGAUGACAACCAGCUACAACCGUAAUUUCUGUAGUGCGAAAAUGGGCUUCUAUAGUUGUGUGAAUGCAUAACUCCAGCCAAUCCAAAGACGGGGUUUGUAACCAAUUAGAUGUAGAGAUACCAUGGUGACUGGCUCCGCCCCCUUACUGUCAAAAAGAUCAACAGCGAGCUUGUAGAAAACACCUUUGAGCUCGAAGAGAGAAGUUCACGUUCCACAAGCGAGGAAAUAUUGUGCGCCAGACGGACUAUGCUCGCGUAUGUUUGAUUUACGGCGAGCAUCAACCUGAUUCACUGUCAAAAUUCGAGAGCGCAAAUCAGCUUGAUGUGCGCGCGUAAAUCAAACAUUCGCUGGGCUUCUGUUCCCAAGAAGCCCAAGAUCACAGGACUCAAUGACUACAGGCUCGUCGCCCUAUGUAGUCAUGAAGUCUUUUGAACGGCUAGUCCUGUCCCACCUGAAGACCCUCACUGACCCCCUCCUGGACCCACUGCAGUUCGCCUACAGAGCCAAGAGGUCUGUGGACGAAUCUGUCAACAUGGCCCUCCACUACAUCCUCCAGCAUCUGGACUCCCCAGGAACCUACGCCAGGAUCCUGUUUGUGGACUUCAGCUCUGCCUUCAACACCAUCAUCCCGUCUCUGCUGCAGGACAAACUCUCUCAGCUACACGUGCCCGACUCCACCUGCAAGUGGAUCACAGACUUCCUGUCUGACAGGAAGCAGCACGUGAAGCUGGGGAAACAUGUCUCAGCUUCUCGGACCAUCAGCACCGGUUCCCCCCAAGGCUGCGUUCUUUCCCCUCUGCUCUUCUCCCUGUACACCAACAGCUGCACCUCCAGUCACCAGUCCGUCAAGCUCCUGAAGUUUGCGGAUGACACCACCCUCAUUGGACUGAUCUCUGGUGGGGAUGAGUCCGCAGACAGGGGGGAGUUUGACCAUCUGGUGUCGUGGUGCAGCCCGAACAACCUGGAGCUCAACGCUCUGAAGACAGUGGAGAUCGUAGUGGAUUUCCGGAGGAACAGAGCCCCACCCUCCCCCAUCACCCUGUGGCCCUGCAAGGACUUUAUCCCGAUGUGUUUGAGAGUCGACGCCGACGACCGUCCCACGCUGGAGCAGCUCGAGAUCCACCCAUAGCUCAGAUAAGUCAACGGCGCACACACACGUUCUCACGCAAACGGUCUCACGCAGACACACACACGUAGUUGGCAUCACGUAGUCGCGCACACAUAGACGCCAUCGCGUAGACACGCAUGCGUAGACGCCAUCGUGUAGACCCCCUCACGUAGACACGCACACGUAUACUAUGGCGGCAAAUCACUGUCAAAAUUCGAGAGCGCAAAUCAGCUUGAUGCGCUCGCGUAAAUCAUACAUCCGCGAGCAAAACUUCCGUCUCGCGAAAGAUAUUUGCUCGCUCGCGGAACGUGAACUUCCUUGCGAGGCUAGUCUCUGCUUGCGCUCGAAGGUGUUUUCUACGCGCUCGCUGUUGUUCUUUUUGACAGUAAGGGGGCGGUACGGUGGCCCUGAAGUACAAAACACAACGGCAAAUAGGAAAACACAAUGAAAUGAACUCCUUACGGAAAGGGUAGGGGCUUAAGGCUGGCGCAUGCUUCUGCGUCUGCGUCGUUGUGUCGACGCACUCGUUUCAAUUCAUGGUUCUAAAAAGUCUUGCGUGUGUUGCAGCGCAAUUCACCGCCAGAACAACAUGCGGAGUAACGUGUUUUGUUGAAGACGACCUAGAGAGUCACGUCUUUGUGUGUGGAAUUAUUUAUCAUAGACUUUAUUGCCCCGUGCAUCGCCACUGCUGCUUUUCGUCACGGAAACAUUUGUCC
ensembl:lncRNA